UGUAUAAAUAUUAAAUAUUUUUUCUGUUCAACUUACGUUUUUAAUUCGGGUUUUAAACAAUACUCAAGAGCAUAUUGACGAGGCUAAGCAUUGUGUUAUAUAAAUCACAGCAUAUGUAUGUAUAUGUCGGUGCGUGUGUAUUAGUGUGUGCGUUUGGCGCGUGACUGUGUAUAGAAUUGUGUGUGAGUGUGUGCGUGUGUUUUGCCGUACACAAAGAGCGACCACAACUAUUAGUUAUAUUGUAUCGGUUAUUUUGUAUUGUCAAUUAAAGGCGAUUACGAAUAUUACGCAUACGCAUACAGUUCCCAUAAAGAAAUCCAUAAGUAAACGACAACAAAAGCAAUCAAACUUUUACACAACAUUUUUUGGCUCUAUGUGCAAUUAUAAUAAUAAAUAAAUUCACCACCUA